rnacentral:lncRNA from 1 species
CCUCUUCCUCUUCAUCUUCUUGAGGCAUCCAAUUCAUAGCUUCUUCAUCUUCCUCUUGAGGCAUCAUGUUCAAAUCUAUACCUCCAUCCUCUCCAUGUUGAGCUUCUUCCUCUUCCUCUUGAGGCAUCAUGUUCAAAUCUAUACCUUCAUCCUCUUCCUCUUGAGGUACCAUGUUCAAAUCCAUACUCCUGCAAUCAAUUAAAAAAGAAGGAGAAGAAGAUUAGAAAGGGGGACACAAAGUGCAGCAGGUACAAGUUCUUAAUUACAGUUGAAUCCAAAAGUGAAUGAUGAACAAAAAGAACACGAGUUUUGCCUUUUUGACAGCAAAAGAACAUGAGUUUUUCUUUUCUUCUUUGACAGGAAAAGAACAUGGGUUUUUCUUUUCUUCUUUGACAGCAAAAGAAGAGGAGUUGAUUUGACAGCAAAAGAACAGGAGUAUAUAUAAUUUUUUCUUCAGAAAAGAAUAUUUGCGCCGUUCAAAGUAGAUAGCAAGAUAGCCGAAAAGAAUACAACUACCAAUGUACUGUACUAGAUAGAGAGAAAAUUCUGCCGUCAUUAUUUGAUUCCCAUUCCCGUGUCUCAUUUUGGUACAUUUGUGUGGCCUUUUAGCAUCUCGAUCAAACAUCGGAUUGUCCCUGCGAUUUUCUUAUAUGCAGGCGCGCGUUCUUGUGACUAAAUGCAUUGUCCCAGCUUUCGGCGUCGCAGGAGGUAAAAAAUAUUCAGACAAAGUGCAGUUGGAGUACUGCCUUCUGAAAUGCAUUUCAUGUGCAAAAGAUAGUAUAUGGACGCACAAUUUCUUGUUUCCUAAUAAUCUGACAAUAUUGCAAAAUGCAGAUUGUUGAACUGGUAGAUCGAUAUGACGAAGAGUGUGUUACCACCAGCGACAAGAUAGGUUUCAUCCAGGACUCCAAGGUCGACAAGGCGUGCACCAGAAAGAUCACGGUGAGAUUCAGAGACACAUAUUCCCAUUCAGAAAUGUGUCUGUACUCUGUAGUACAUUGCUGGUUACACUACACAAAAACUUCAGAACAGAGAUGACAACAUGGCAUCUUUGUUUUCAUUAGCAAUACAUUUUCAAACAGCAGCAGUUUCAGGUACCAGUUCCAGGUGAGCAUUUUCAUUUGCAAUAGUUCUAGGUAAACAACAACAACAGUUUCACGUACCUUCUUCAGGUGCAGAGCGGCACUAGCU